UACGGAGGGUGCAAGCGUUAUCCGGAUUCACUGGGUUUAAAGGGUGCGUAGGAGGGUAGGUAAGUCAGUGGUGAAAUCUUCGAGCUUAACUCGGAAACUGCCGUUGAUACUAUCUAUCUUGAAUACCGUGGAGGUGAGCGGAAUAUGUCAUGUAGCGGUGAAAUGCUUAGAUAUGACAUAGAACACCAAUUGCGAAGGCAGCUCGCUACACGAAUAUUGACUCUGAGGCACGAAAGCGUGGGGAUCAAACAGGA
rnacentral:rRNA from 1 species